AUAAUAACUAUAACAGUAGAGUUUCACAAUAAAAGAAUAAUGGCAAAUAUAACUAUAAUCAGUAAGAAUUAAGAAGCUACUGCUGCUGGACCAACCAGUGACAUGGAUCCCACAUGGCCAACUGGGUGAUUUGAGCCCUGCAUCUAACAGCCUGAAAAACAGCCUGGGCAAGGUAUGCAGACUGAAGUCCCAAUGGGAUAUACUGCAGGCCCACCAGAACGAUGAAGACAGAAGGAAGAUGCACUGAGGUGCUCAGGCCCGGAAUCGUCUUGAGCUUCCCGACAACAUCCAAUCCAGUUAAAGCCGUUCUUCCUGAAACCUGCCUUAAAGCCCCGAACCCUGACUCACACCCUAUAUGUCUUCUAUUAAACUCUCGUUCAAGGCUUCCCAUGAGUUGGAUUUCCCCUCGGGGUAGGGGCGAGUAAUGAACCCACGAGUUCAAGUAAAUGUGUGUUCUUGGUGGGCUUUG